GCCUGACAACUGUCACAUGGGGAGGAAGGUCCCCCAAAAUAUGGUUGGACAGAAAUGUGGGUUGUACUUCAUUUGCAGGUGGAUUCAUGGAAAGGAUCCUACGAAGUACUGUUGACCACUGAAACCACUGCUAAAUUACAAGGUAUCAAGCCUCAGGUCCAUAAUUCACAACUGAUGAAGUCUCGCCUGACAUCUGAUCCUUUGCAGAGAUGGAGACUUCAAAAAUCAAAUUGCUAUGAAGACAAGUAGCCAAUGUUAAGUGGAGUAAGGAGGCAUCAUGCUGUGGUGAACACCACUUGCUGCACUUGGACUGACAUUUCUGGGGAAGCUGAGACUCAGCCUCACAAAGACUACUGAAUAAGCCAGUUGGAUUA